GAGGAAACCUCCGGGGGAGAUCGAGGAGCUCGCGACCUAUCAGCUAGUUGGCGGGGUAACGGCCCACCAAGGCAGCGACGGGUAGCUGGUCUGAGAGGAUGGCCAGCCACAUUGGGACUGCGACACGGCCCAGACUCCUACGGGAGGCAGCAGUGGGGAAUAUUGCGCAAUGGACGAAAGUCUGACGCAGCGACGCCGCGUGUGGGAUGAAGCCUUUCGGGGUGUAAACCACUGUUGCCCGGGACGAAACUCCCCUUUCGAGGGGAUUGACGGUACCGGGUGAGGAAGCACCGGCUAACUCUGUGCCAGCAGCCGCGGUAAUACAGAGGGUGCGAGCGUUGUCCGGAAUCACUGGGCGUAAAGGGCGCGUAGGUGGCGAGAUAAGCGUGUGGUGAAAGCCCGGGGCUCAACCCCGUGUCUGCCAUGCGGACUGUCUUGCUUGAGCGUAGUAAAGGCAGGUGGAAUUCCGGGUGUAGCGGUGGAAUGCGUAAAGAUCCGAA
rnacentral:rRNA from 1 species